rnacentral:piRNA from 1 species
UNGAAAGGCUGCGGUGACUCAUCUGGUC